rnacentral:rRNA from 1 species
ACUCCUACGGGAGGCAGCAGUAGGGAAUCUUCGGCAAUGGGGGCAACCCUGACCGAGCAACGCCGCGUGAGUGAAGAAGGUUUUCGGAUCGUAAAGCUCUGUUGUAAGUCAAGAACGAGUGUGAGAGUGGAAAGUUCACACUGUGACGGUAGCUUACCAGAAAGGGACGGCUAACUACGUGCCAGCAGCCGCGGUAAUACGUAGGUCCCGAGCGUUGUCCGGAUUUAUUGGGCGUAAAGCGAGCGCAGGCGGUUUGAUAAGUCUGAAGUUAAAGGCUGUGGCUCAACCAUAGUUCGCUUUGGAAACUGUCAAACUUGAGUGCAGAAGGGGAGAGUGGAAUUCCAUGUGUAGCGGUGAAAUGCGUAGAUAUAUGGAGGAACACCGGUGGCGAAAGCGGCUCUCUGGUCUGUAACUGACGCUGAGGCUCGAAAGCGUGGGGAGCGAACAGGAUUAGAAACCCCAGUAGUCCC